AAUAUUGGGACAUAUAAAAAAAGACAACUCUGUUCCGCAGAGUAGCUGGUGACAUUAUAGUUGUGCAGGCACUUUGUUGACUCUAGAAAACCUCGGGGCAAUCGCACAUCCCCGUGGCGGCGACUUUGCAUGCGGAUGUCAUCCAUAUGAACUUUCGAUGCCAGUUUCUGCGCCUUCUAUGGUGACCACGGGUAACGGGGAAUCAGGGUUCCAUUCCGUACAGGGACUCUGAGAAACUGCUACCACAUGCAAGGAAGGCAACAGGUGCGCAAAUGACCCACUCCCGACGCGGGAAGUUAGUGA